UUGAAAGGGAAACGAUUGAAGUCAGUCGUACCGACGGAAAAUCAACUUCUCGGGUGCCAAUCGUGGGUGACGUUGAGCCUCACGGUCUUCGUUGCUUGUGUUGUCGGUGCCUUUGGGGUGUACUUUUUCGUAUGGUAGGUCAACAUCGAUUUUGAUCGUCAUAAAAUGGUCGGAGGAAUGUAGCUUUGAUUUCGAUCGAAGUGUUAUAGCCUUUGGUAGAUGUGACGAUUGGGAUCGAGGAUUGCAACGAAUACCCUUUGGGCUAUCCGUCUGACCUCUGAAAGUCGCUUGGGAGUCGAAAGCUUGCUUAUGACUAUUCAAGUUGGCGGUCAACAGGUUAGAACGCGAUUACAUUCGUUAAGGAUGUUGACGUA
rnacentral:rRNA from 1 species